rnacentral:lncRNA from 1 species
CAAUUACACCACCAAAAACUCCUUCUCCCAUCCACACCCCUCCUAAUGUUCCUUAUACUCCUUCCCCUACCAAUCAACCACCAUAUGUGCCAAUUACACCACCAAAAACUCCUUCACCUAUUCAUGCCCCUCCUAAUGUUCCUUAUACUCCUUCACCUACCAAUCAACCACCUUAUGUUCCAAUUACACCACCAAAAACUCCUUCUCCCAUCCACACCCCUCCUAAUGUUCCUUAUACUCCUUCCCCUAGCAAUAAACCACCAUAUGUACCAAUUACACCUCCAAAAGCUCCUUCCCCAAGCAAUCAUGCACCUAAUGUUCCAAUUACACCUCCAAAGACUCCUUCUCCUACUUACAAUCCUAUUCCUCCUAGUAAUGUUCCUUACACUCCUCCAAAAGCUCCUUCCCCUAACAAUGAACCGCCAUAUACACCAAUUCCUCCAAAAACUCCUUCUCCCGUCUCUCAACCACCCUAUGUACCAAUUACACCACCUAAAUCUCCUUCUCCAAUUCACACCCCUCCUAAUGUUCCUUACACACCUCCAACAACCCCUUCCCCAAGCAAUCACCCUCCGCAUGUUCCAAUUAUACCUCCAACAACACCCUCUCCUUUUUCUCAACCUCCAUAUGUGCCAACACCUCCCAAAACCCCUUCUCCAAUUUCUCAAGCACCUUACAUUCAAACACCUCCAAAAGCUCCUUCCCCAAGCAAUAACCCUCGAAAUGUACCAACACCUCCGAAAACCCCUUCUCCCAUUUCCCAAGCUCCUUAUAUUCAAACACCUCCAAACACUCCUUCACCAACAUCACAACCACCAUACAUUCAAACACCUCCAAACACUCCUUCUUCUCCGACAUCACAACCACCAUACAUUUCAACAC